UCCGGUUUAUCACCGGCGGUCUCCUUAGAGUUCCCACCAUUACGUGCUGGCAACUAAGGACGAGGGUUGCGCUCGUUACGGGACUUAACCCAACAUCUCACGACACGAGCUGACGACAGCCAUGCAGCACCUGUAUCUCGGUUCCCGAAGGCACUCCCCUGUUUCCAGAGGAUUCCAAGUAUGUCAAGAGUAGGUAAGGUUCUUCGCGUUGCAUCGAAUUAAACCGCAUGCUCCACCGCUUGUGCGGGCCCCCGUCAAUUUCUUUGAGUUUUAACCUUGCGGCCGUACUCCCCAGGCGGAGAACUUAACGCGUUAGCUUCGAUACUAAGGAGUAAACUCCCCAACAUCUAGUUCUCAUCGUUGACAGCGUGGACUAC
rnacentral:misc_RNA from 1 species